UACGGAGGGGGCUAGCGUUGUUCGGAAUUACUGGGCGUAAAGCGCACGUAGGCGGCUUUGUAAGUUAGAGGUGAAAGCCCGGGGCUCAACUCCGGAAUUGCCUUUAAGACUGCAUCGCUCGAAUUGUGGAGAGGUAAGUGGAAUUCCGAGUGUAGAGGUGAAAUUCGUAGAUAUUCGGAAGAACACCAGUGGCGAAGGCGGGUCUCUGGGCCGAUACUGACACUGAGAAGCGAAAGCGUGGGGAGCGAACAGG
rnacentral:rRNA from 1 species